rnacentral:rRNA from 2 species
UACGGAGGGAGCUAGCGUUAUUCGGAAUUACUGGGCGUAAAGCGCACGUAGGCGGCUUUGUAAGUUAGAGGUGAAAGCCUGGUGCUCAACACCAGAACUGCCUUUGAUACUGCAUCGCUUGAAUCCAGGAGAGGUGAGUGGAAUUCCGAGUGUAGAGGUGAAAUUCGUAGAUAUUCGGAAGAACACCAGUGGCGAAGGCGGCUCACUGGACUGGUAUUGACGCUGAGGUGCGAAAGCGUGGGGAGCAAACAGG